AACCCAGAUGUGCAUGCAGCAAGGCACCAGCCAGCAGCCAGCGAGCUCUUCUGAAGCAAGGUGUCUGUCCCUCUCACAGACGAGGAGCACAGAAGAGUUCUGCUUCCAGAUGCUUCCAAAGCAGAGUGCUUCCAAAAUGAUCUCUGAGCCCUCCGCUUGCGGGCGUCUUGCAGACGGAGUUGAAGAGCGUACCUUGGUGAGUACCUAACUCCAGUGCUCAGGACGAGGGACAUCAGAUCUCACUCUGCGCUCUGAACUGGGACUUCCUCAGCUUCAUGGCCUCCUCUCAUUUAUGUCUCUUGAGCCCCAAUGGCCCGGUCUGUGAAAUGGAGAUAAAAAACACGCCUCUCAGGGUGCCGUCAGCACCCCAGAUAAUAGCACACUGCACAUGUAGUGUUCAGUGAUGUGGGGCUGCUCCUCUUAUCUCAGCACACAGACGAGAGACUAACACUAAAAGGACACGUUCCGUCUGGUUAGAGACAAGCCCUCUUCUACCCAGGACAAGACAGAGGAAAGAUGUGAGCGUGAGCUCCAGAGUCAUGGCAGCAGAUGUUGGUGGUAGUAAUUGUGACAGUGCCAAUGUGGGCACAGGUUCCCUUGUGACACUUCAUCUCCCAUCUUCAAUAUGAGGUAAGACUCUUACUGUUUCCACGUAAAGGAUAAGGGAUGUGGGGCUGGCCAGGUGGCCCAGCAGGUGAGGGUGCUUGCUGCCAACCCUGGUGACUUGAGUUUGAACCCAAAACCCACAUGAGGGAAGGAGAGAAUUGACUCCGGCAAGCUGUCCUCUGACCCACACACACAUACUGUGGCAUGGACACACACACAUGUGCAUACACACACACACACACACACAGACGCACACAAAGUCAAAGAUUUUAAUUUUUUACUUUUAUUGAUUUAUUUUUUUAGUAAAAUACAGGAGAAACUACAGCUGUCUGUCUUGCCUCUGCAGUCCUUGCUAGAAAGACAACAUUAGACUGUACUGCAUAACGGGGCCAUUAGUCCCAUGUUCCAUGCUGGACAGAGUCCCUUGGAGAGCCAUUUUUUCAGCUCCAAAAGGCUCAGGUGUGCCAUAUAGAGGAGAGGGCCUGUAUUCAUCUUAUGUGAGGGAUAUAAACACAUAUAGCAGUGUGCGAUCAUAUUUGACUAUCUGCGACUAUGGGCCCGGUUACACCAGUCACAUUCAGUACUUAGCAAAGCACCUGGGGACGGGAAGCAAUGUUCUCGGGGCCUUUACAGCGAAGUCCUGGUGUCAUUCUUGUCAGCAGGAGUCUGGGCAGUGGAAUUUUUCUCUUCAUUCUGUGUGGAGUGUCACAGACAUUACCAGGGUGGGUGAGGGUGAACACACAACCAGGUCAGCUUAGAUACUAAUGUAUAUAAAUUUAGGGCCCAUCCUUUCUCCCAGACUCAAGACUCAAAAUAUAUUUAUAAAUACCUUUUUCAUAUAGCUAGGCUUAUACUCUGACUAGAUCAUAACUAAAGAUAACCCAUUUAUUUUAACCUACAUUCUGCCGUGUGGCUGGUUACCUGGGCUCCGGUGCCAUGCAUCCACUGUCUGUCUCCUCACAUCUUCUGGACUGAUCUCCCACCUGACUCUAUCCCAGAAUCCUUUCUCCUCCUGGAUGCUCCACCUCCCAUUUCCUGCCUAAGUUGUAGGCCAUGGGCUUGGGAAUUGACAGGUGAUGUCUCCAUACAAUGCACAGGAUAUUCUCUCUACAAACAUGCCCUUCUUUACCAGAGAAGCUGCUGGUGUUUGGCUUACAGAUGCUUCCUCCGAACAUUACGCACUUCGCUGGGUGUUGGACACAUGAAGGUAAGCUGAGACAUGUCUACCGGGUCAGUCCGGGGGGUUUCCUGACUCGGUUUCCCCUUUGCGCUCCAGGCUCCACACGGACGUCAAGAACACUCCUUCGAUUCCCACCCCGUGACCUUCUGUUCCUCUAGCUUGGCUCGCACUCUGCAAUGGUGCAGCAGAAUGUCUUAGUUCAUCACACUUCCCUCUGCAUCCCUUUCUGUUCUCCUUGUCCUCACCCAGAAGCCUGUUCAAGGUCAUUCACGCUGAGAUGAUACGAGACGAUGAUCUUUGAAAGCGGUGAGCAAACCCUUGGCUUAGCAGUCCUUUAGUUUAACAGCGGUAAAACAGAACUUAAGUGCCCAUGAGAAGCUCCAGUGUCAAACAGGCUGUUUUAGGGGCGACUGCUGGGAGGAGCCCCCAUAGAGCCUCAAAUGACAAAUGGGUUUGAUUUGCAUUUGCUUUCUGGGUCAGUACACAGAUGGCUUCCUCCUUCUCCACUCUGCCCACUGUAUCCUUACUUGGCACAGCUGUGUCCUGUAGCCCAGUGACAGGAUGUAGGGGCACAAGAGGGUUUGGACACUCAGGAACAACUCUCUGAAAAGUAUGACCUCGGGACGAGAAUUGCUGGUGCAUUUUCAAGGUAGGGCAGCAAAUAAAAUACGGAGUUGGAAACAGAGAGGUCUCCAGAAAGGGCUGUGGGUUUCUAGGUGUCACCUGAAAACAGAGGUGGCCAGAGGAAGCAUCCAGGGUCCAGACUCCUAGAAUAAUUCUCACCAGGUAGGACUAGGAUGAGUUCCCAAACUCUGAUAUGAUGGAAGGGGCGUGCGCAUGUAUGGGGCAGACUCCAUGUUGCGUGCAUACAUUACAAGCCUACUGUGCAAAGAGCACUGGGAAAGGCCGUAGAGCAGGCAAGGUUACUAGACACUGAUGUUGGGCAUAUUUUGGCAAAAAAUUAAAAACAAAAAGAUGGUCCUGUUCUUCAAGGUCCUUGUGGAUUAGCUGAGUCUUGGAACAGAGGUAGAUCCAGCAAAGAGCUGCAAGUGUUGUCUACAGAAUGCCUUGUGGGCAACAAGACUCUACAGCACUGGCCAAAACGCCAGAAUGGCCAGCAUAGGUACUGUCCAAGAAAGAGUUCAGCAACUUCCCAGGUUCUGCAGGUAGGAAAGCAGACCCUAGUGGAGGGGUCCCUCAGCACUUCUAAAGCAAGAGUGAACACAGCUCGGAGGUCAUCCCACCCCAGUUUCCCUAGGAAGGAAAGGAAAAGGCCAUGGACAUGACACCCAUCUUCUGUGUUAGAGGAGGAAAUCCUGUUGCGGAAUUUACAGAGCAAUUACCCUGCAAAGCCACAGAAAAACAGAUGACCUGACAACCUAGAAAUCAUGUAAUUUAUCCAAUUAAACAUUUUUACACCACUGUAACCAUGCAGGUUCACGUAUUAGUAACCCGGAAGGUCUCCGUUCUAGACACUUGGAAUUUUUCAGCUUUCUGCUCAAAUGCAUCUGUCUGUCUGUAAUUAUAUCAUCAUCUGAGGCACGGUUGUGUAGGGUUUCAUUUAACUCUGCAUUUUUCGUUCUGUGGCCCAUAUGCCGCCCAGGGCGUGAGCAAGGUGUUUGGAAGCACACUGCCUUCAGUGAAGCCUUCUUUUACUCUUUCAUUGUGUUACUCUCACUCUGGAAAGCCCUGUGCAAGUCCUCUUGGCCAUGAAGACUUCCUCAGACACAGGACACAGUGGCUUCAUGUUGCAUACCUCGCCAUGGCUGUGUAUUACUUCAGCUUUCAUCUAGUAGUGUGGUGGUUUGAAUAUGCUUGACCCCUGGGAAGUGGCACUAUCGGAAGGUGUGGCCUUGUUGGAAGAAGUACGUCACUACGUAGGUGGGCUUUGAGGCUAGCGCUCAAGCUCCGCCCUGUGCAGAAGAGAGAGUCUCCCUCUGCCUGCCUUCGGAACAAGAUGUCAGUCUAUCAGCUCCUUCUCCAGCACCGUGUCUGUCUGGAUGCCGCCAUGCUUCCCACCGUGGUGAUAAUCGAGUGAACCCCUGGAACUGUAAGCCAGCCCCAACUAAAUGUUGUCCUUUAUAAAA